rnacentral:rRNA from 1 species
AAUAGAUACCCGGUAGUCCACGCCGUAAACGAUGAAUACUAGGUGUAGGGGUUGUCAUGACCUCUGUGCCGCCGCAAACGCAUUAAGUAUUCCGCCUGGGGAGUACGGUCGCAAGAUUAAAACUCAAAGGAAUUGACGGGGGCCCGCACAAGCAGCGGAGCAUGUGGUUUAAUUCGAAGCAACGCGAAGAACCUUACCUAGACUUGACAUCUCCUGAAUUACUCUUAAUCGAGGAAGUCCCUUCGGGGACAGGAAGACAGGUGGUGCAUGGUUGUCGUCAGCUCGUGUCGUGAGAUGUUGGGUUAAGUCCCGCAACGAGCGCAACCCUUAUUGUUAGUUGCUACCAUUAAGUUGAGCACUCUAGCAAGACUGCCCGGGUUAACCGGGAGGAAGGUGGGGAUGACGUCAAAUCAUCAUGCCCCUUAUGUCUAGGGCUACACACGUGCUACAAUGGCAAGUACAAAAGAUGCAAUACCGCAAGGUGGAGCUAAACUUAAAAACUUGUCUCAGUUCGGAUUGUAGGCUGAAACUCGCCUACA